UACAGAGGUCUCAAGCGUUGUUCGGAUUCAUUGGGCGUAAAGGGUGCGUAGGCGGCGCGGUAAGUCGGGUGUGAAAUCUCGGAGCUUAACUCCGAAACUGCAUUCGAUACUGCCGUGCUUUGAGGACUGGAGAGGAGACUGGAAUUUACGGUGUAGCGGUGAAAUGCGUAGAUAUCGUAAGGAAGACCAGUGGCGAAGGCGGGUCGUCGUGGA
rnacentral:rRNA from 1 species